rnacentral:misc_RNA from 1 species
AAAAAAAAUGCUAAAUGAUUCUUUGUUAAAUUUUAAAUAUAUAACUGAAAGCUGCAGAACUCAAACUUUAAAUUCUAUGUUUGGUAGCCCAUUACCACUGGAUGGAGUUGGGGAUUUCACCUUUUCUCAGGAUGGAGAGAGCAUAUUCAGCAGUGUUGAUAACAUCAUUGAUGUUGUGGAGGGAUCUCUCCUCGGAAGCCAGCAUGAAGAUGGCACGAACUUCAGCCUUCUUAGCCAGUCUAGCAGCUAAAUUAAGAGGCAAAUUUGGAGAGUUGAGGCUGCGCAAUAUUUGGCGAUAAAGAGAAAUAACAUGUCCUCUAUUCCUUGCCAGAUCUUCAGCUGUUGCCCAUAUCAGACCUUUUGCCAUUACUGUUUCAGUUCAAUUGCAGCAGCCACGGCGAUGGCUUCGAGUUGGUGAUCGACCGCGACGGCGAGAGUGGGAGAGAGCAGUAAUGGUGAACGACAAUGGCGGUGGUGGCUUCUAAACUGACGGGCUUG